rnacentral:rRNA from 1 species
GAUUAACGCUAGCGGCAGGCAUAAUACAUGCAAGUUGAACGGCAGCACAGGUAGCAAUACUGGGUGGCGAGUGGCGCACGGGUGCGUAACACGUAUGCAACCUACCCUAUACAGGCGAAUAACCUUUAGAAAUGAGGGCUAAUACGCCGUAGUAUUACAGAUGGGCAUCUAUUUGUAAUUAAAGAUUUAUCGGUAUAGGAUGGGCAUGCGUCCCAUUAGUUAGUUGGUAAGGUAACGGCUUACCAAGACGAUGAUGGGUAAGGGAUCUGAGAGGACUUACCCCCACACUGGUACUGAGACACGGACCAGACUCCUACGGGAGGCAGCAGUAAGGAAUAUUGGGCAAUGGCCGCGAGGCUGACCCAGCCAUGCCGCGUGCAGGAAGACGGCCUUAUGGGUUGUAAACUGCUUUUAUACGGGAAUAAUAGAGUGUACGCGUACAUUUAUGCAAGUAUCGUAUGAAUAAGCAUCGGCUAACUCCGUG